GAUUAAAAAUUGCUCUACAUAAGGAAGUUUGACUGUAAGAUCCACCCGUCGAACAGGGACGAAAGUCGGUCUUAGUGAUCCGACGAUGCCGAGUUGAAGGGCCGUCGCUCAAC
rnacentral:ncRNA from 1 species